CACGAGCGGGACAGAAGAUACGUGGAGGCGGUCGCCCGACCCACUGAUGGCGAGGAAGAGCAAGGGGCGGGCCGGCACCCCCACAGAGUUGCUGGGGACUGCUGGGAGGAGGAGCACACGAUCUUCUGGCCUACUUUGUCACCGAGGAUGCAGACCAGCAGCCCAGGAACCUGCCCUCCUCUGCCUCUUCUUCAAACGAGACCAGCAAGUUAUCUCCUCUCCCUCUCUUUCUCUCCUCUCUCUCUCUCUCUCUCUCUCUCUCUCUCUCUCUCUCUCUCUCUCUCUCUCUCUCUCUCUCUCUCUCUCAAAGGAAUAGAGAAAAUCUCAACUUUAUUUGUAACUUUAUUUGUUGGUGCAGAUCUGUUUUCAUAUGCUCACAAGGUGCUUGAUGACAACUCUAGCUAAUAUUAUUAUUGACAGGAAGUGGCAGCGCGUGGUGGUGGUCCUCGGCAACGACGAGAGGGAGACCGGAUGGAUGCUUCAAGAUUCAAUGUGGUUGUCAUGAUCCUCCAAUCCAUUUGGCUCCUUACUGCCAAUUUGGUCAUUUUACUCGACUUUUCCCCCUUUUGAUUUGGCUUGUAUGUUUUAUGUGUGAUCUGAACGUUCGUUAGUUUUGUUUCAUGGAUAAUUAUUUGUUUGGCAUGAACUACUCCAGAGCAGGGUGUAUACAAUAUUCUUUAGAUUUUGGUUAUAUUAGGCUGGUCUUUUUUGAUGGUAUGGGCAAAGAGAUUAUUUGUAUGUCAUUGUUUUUUUAUUUUGGCCAGCAUUUCGUGAAUAAGUUCUAAUAGGGGGAUUGUAGCUCCUUUUUGUAGAUCUAAAUUCCAUCUCUUUAUUUGAUAGGGCACCUACACAUUUUAGAUUUAUUGUUUGUUGCUUUGUUUACAUGCAAGGUAUGAGAACCAGGAUGCAAAUGCUACAUCGCAACCUGUGUACCAAGCUUGAAGAAAUUUAGAAACUGAGGGAGCAUAAAAUCCAAGAGCUUUUACAUCAGAAUGUUGCUGUUGAGUUGGCAUGAUAUUCAGGCCAUAGUCAAUGUAUUUGCUGGUGUGUUUGAGGUGGAUGUAUCAAACUGGCCACCAUUUAUGCCAAAUGGUUUCGAAGGUGUUGAAACCGGAUCCACAGUAGUCUUAUUUGCCUAUGUUGGAUUUGAUGCAGUUGCUAAUUUUGCAGAGGAAGCUAAAUGACCACCGGAGGAUCUCAUGGCGUGACCGAAGAAGAUGGGGAUCCUAAAUUGCCGGAGAUGAUGUCUCAAGGAAUGAGAAUUGUUUUGGGUUAUCAGACUAGUGGGUGGAUGGUGAGGAGAACGGUAGAGGUCAUGAACAUUGUUGUCUGAGCACAUCUCAAGGGACUGAAGUUUCUCUACCCCAAUGACGUACUGAGGUACCACAUUUAUCGUUUACCAUGGUUCUUCUACCAUUCUUAUCUCUGCAAUCACAAAGGGACAUGCAUAUGCACACAAGCAGCAUCCCCUCCCCCCUAAUUUAGGACAGCUUCCUUUCACUUCUUUUUGUAGUAGCCUUGUGAUUUACAUAUUUACUUGCACAUCUUUGGAGUGAAGAGUGCCAUUAACCCCUUCACCAAACACAUGUACUUCAUAUAUGCUUAGCCAUACAUGUUAUUUAAUAAUUAAGAGUUAUUUAUAUGCAUAAGCACCUGAUAAGCAUUGCUGCCUUAUGAAGCAGCGUUGUUAAGAUUGGAACCUUACAUCAAGAAAAAUGGGUUUCUUGGCACAUGGAUUUGGCAUUAACUUUCUAAAACUUGUGAUUGAUUGAUUUACUUGCUAGGAUAAAGUGUAGGCUAUUGAAGGAACAAAUGCUCAAAAUAGUCUUUUUUUGGCAACUGAAAGAUCAGGCAAGAUGUCAGAGCACUUUAUUGGACAUGCAAGCAAGAUUGCUUCUGGAUAUGCUAGGCAAGGGAAUAGAGUCUGCCCUGAUAAAUCCAUCAACUCUGCUACCUACGAUUGCUUGAUGAGGAAUACAUAUGAAAAAUGGAUUUAUUUAUUUGCUCAGAGUUCGUUCGUACAUGCACAUUUGUUAUAUUUGGUACUUUCCAAAGGAAAAUAAGAAAGGGCAACCUAUCCAUGUUAUCUGGAAUAAGUACUUUACUUAUACUACUUCCAUGUUUUUACAAUUUUACUUCAGCAUGAACCAUGAAGUCAUAUAUCAAGAAAUUACGGCUAAUCAACAAAGUAAUGUAUCCAAAUAUUAUCAGUUUAUCGUGCUUUGGAUCGUUGCUGCUUCCGGGUAAUUGUAUCAUAUAGUCGAUGGUGGUGAUUGUAUGAUUACAGGAUGUUAUCAAGAAGUAUUAUGCAUCGAUUGUCAAGACCAAAAAUGAGAGCACAUAGCCUGCCUGUUGAUGCAACUGUCGAAAUUGUUGAGCUGAGUUCAGGAAGUAUGGUGCUAUCAAACCUGGCGAGUAGUACACCGUCAGAUGGAGCCUCAGCAUAAGUGGGAUUUGCCAAACCGUGAUUGCAAUGAUGGAGGGCACCAUGAUAUGGAAAUAUGUCCUCCCCGAUCAAUCUGGGUAGUUGCUUCAGAUUCAAGUUGUUCCUUUGAGCAGUAGUCCAGCGGACUACUAUGCUUGUUUUGGUGCGGUAAAUUAAGUUCAUGGCUUGUUUAGAUGAACAUUGAAAUUCUUCAGAGGGCUGUAUUACUAUUGUCUAUCUCUGAAUAUUGGAAGUUGAUGGUUUUUUCUUUUG